UGACCCUAUUGCUGAGAAAGGAAAAGAGGUUUUCUGUGAAAAAAAAUGAUUCAGUCCAUGUGAUGGCAAACAAAUCAUCCUUGGUUUUGAGGAGGACUGCUGCAACAGAGAUAAUAGGAUUUCCCAUGAGUGGAAGCCUUCCCUGUUGGGGUACCAACAGAAAAACAAGUGGAGAUGUAGUCCUGCUACCCACAGGCAACCAAUGGAAAACUACAGAAGGAUCUCAGUUAGAUCUGAUCCUACAGAAGGAUCUGAGUUAUAAACUCAGUCUUCCUAGUCAAAAGAUUUUGAACCCAAGCAAGUAUGGCAAGAUCUAUUUAGCUGGAAUGAGUAAAAGGAACUGGAAUAACUUAAAAAAAAAAAAAAAACAAAAACAAAAACAGUGUCUCUCCUUACGGAAAAACUUGGUCUCUUUAUGCCUGGUUAAUUAAUAUCCUCACAAG
rnacentral:lncRNA from 7 species